rnacentral:rRNA from 1 species
CCUACGGGGGGCUGCAGUGAGGAAUAUUGGUCAAUGGGCGUACGCCUGAACCAGCCAAGUCGCGUGAGGGAUGAAGGUUCUAUGGAUCGUAAACCUCUUUUAUAAGGGAAUAAAGUGCGGGACGUGUCCCGUUUUGUAUGUACCUUAUGAAUAAGGAUCGGCUAACUCCGUGCCAGCAGCCGCGGUAAUACGGAGGAUCCGAGCGUUAUCCGGAUUUAUUGGGUUUAAAGGGUGCGUAGGCGGCCCUUUAAGUCAGCGGUGAAAGCCCGUGGCUAAACACUCGAAUUGCCGUUGAUACUGGGAGGCUUGAGUAUGUUUGAGGCAGGCGGAAUGCAUGGUGUAGCGGUGAAAUGCUUAGAGAUCACGCAGAACCCCGAUUGCGAAGGCAGCCUGCCAAGCCAUGACUGACGCUGAUGCACGAAAGCGUGGGGAUCAAACAGGAUUAGAUACCCGAGUAGUC